rnacentral:rRNA from 1 species
GACGAACGCUGGCGGCGUGCUUAACACAUGCAAGUCGAACGGAAAGGCCCUGCUCUUGUGGGGUGCUCGAGUGGCGAACGGGUGAGUAACACGUGAGUAACCUGCCCCUGACUUUGGGAUAACUUCAGGAAACUGGGGCUAAUACCGGAUAGGAGCUCCUGCUGCAUGGUGGGGGUUGGAAAGUGUCGGCGGUUGGGGAUGGACUCGCGGCUUAUCAGCUUGUUGGUGGGGUAGUGGCUUACCAAGGCUUUGACGGGUAGCCGGCCUGAGAGGGUGGACGGCCACAUUGGGACUGAGGUACGGCCCAGACUCCUACGGGCCGCAGCAGGGGGGAAUAUUGCACAGUGGGCGGAAGCCUGAUGCAGCAACGCCGCGUGCGGAAUGACGGCCUUCGGGUUGUAAACCGCUUUCGCCUGUGACGAGGCGUGCGUGACGGUAAUGGGUAAAGAAGCACCGGCUAACUACGUG